GUCAUUGGUGUGGUUUCACAUGAAUCCACUAUUCAACUCAGUAGAGCAUUCAUAAAUGCCUUGUGGAAACUCUGAAGCCACCCAACAACACACUUUGAGGUUAUCUUGAUUGCUCUAGGGGAAGCCAGCUGGCAUGGGAAGUAGUGCAGUGGAGAAAUGCACAUGGCCAGAGACUAAGACCAAUCAUUUGAAUGAGUUUGGAAGCAUCCUACCCACCACUGCCACCAGUCAAGUCUUCAGAUGAGACUGCAGCCAUAGCCAACAGCUUGACUGCAACCUCCCAAAAACCUUGAUGCAGAUUCACACAACAUUGGACUUCUGACCCAUAGACAAUAUUAUAUAAUAAAUGUUUGUCU
rnacentral:lncRNA from 1 species